rnacentral:misc_RNA from 1 species
GAUGAAGAACGUAGCGAAAUGCGAUACGUAAUGUGAAUUGCAGAAUUCAGUGAAUCAUCGAAUCUUUGAACGCAUAUUGCGCUCUCUGGUAUUCCGGAGAGCAUGCUUGUUUGAGUAUCAGUAAACACCUCAACUUCCAUAUCUUUUAUGAAAUGGGAGUUGGACUUGAGUGAUCCCAACGCUUUUCCUCACCGAAAAGUGGCGGGUUACUUGAAAUGCAGGUGCAGCUGGACUUUUCUCUGAGCUAUAAGCAUAUCUAUUUAGUCUGCCUAAAAACAGAUUAUUACCUUUGCUGCAGCUAACAUAAAGGAGAUUAGUUCUUGUGCUGACUGAUGCAGGAUUCACAAAGACAGGCUUCGGCCGACUUUGUAAACUCGAUCUCAAAUCAAGUAAGACUACCCGCUGAACUUAAGCAUAUCAAUAAGCGGAGGA